UUAUAUAUAUUAUUAUUUUUAUUUUUUGUUUAUUAUUUAUUUAAUAGAAAUAAUUUUAUUGGUUAUGUGUCUUAGUAUAUUUUAUAGAAUGGAUUCUAAUUAUUAUAGUUUAUUAGUAAUGUAAUUGGUUUAUGAAAUAAUUUAUUUAAAUAAAUUAAAGUAAAUUUAAUUUAUUGUACCUUUUGUAUCAGGGUUUAUUAAAAUUUUAGUAUAAAUAAUACUAUUCUCAAUUUAGGUUGAUUUAUAAAUAUAUUUACUUUAAUGUAUCAUAAUUAUUAGAAAUAUAUUUAUAGAAAUGAAAUGUUAAUCGUUUCCUAAUAUAUUUAGUUUCCUAAGAAAAAAUUUAAUUUUUUAGAGUUUCUGUUUAAUUUAAUUUUUUAAUUUACAAUAUUUACUUAUUAACUCUUUAGGGGAUAAGCUCUGGAGAAUAAUUAUCCUAUAAUUUAUUAAUUUAAAAUAUAAUUAUAAGCUUUAAACCAGCUAUUUUUUGAUUACGUUUUAGUUCAUUAUUUUUUAUUAUAAUUUUACAAUAAUUUUAGGUUUUAUAUUAGGAUAAUAAAUUGAAUAUUAUAAUUUUUGUAAUAAUGAUGAAAUUAGUAUAAUAUUAUUGUUUUAAAUAUUUAAUCCUAAUAAUUUAUUGUAAGGAAUUAGGCAAAAUAAAUUUCCGCCUGUUUAUCAAAAACAUGUCCUCUUGAACUAAUAUUUUGAGGUCUGGCCUGCUCACUGAAAAUUUUAAAGAGCCGCGGUAUUUUGACCGUGCAAAGGUAGCAUAAUCAUUAGUCUUUUAAUUAAGGGCUGGAAUGAAUGGCUUGACGAGAAAUUAACUGUCUCUUAAUAAUUUAUAUAAUUUAACUUUUAAGUCAAAAGGCUUAAAUUUUUCUUUAGGACGAGAAGACCCUAUAGAGCUUGACAUUUUAUUUAUAUAUAGUUUUUAGUUGGUCUUUCUAUAUAUGAUGAUAAUGUUUUGUUGGGGUGACAUGAAGAAUAAAUAAACUCUUCAUUAUAAAAUCAUUUAUUUAUGUUUAUUUUGAUCCAUAAUUUAUGAUCAUAAGAUUAAGUUACCUUAGGGAUAACAGCGUAAUUGUUUUUGAGAGCUCAUAUUAACAAAGCAGAUUGCGACCUCGAUGUUGGAUUAAGAAAAGUUUUGGGUGCAGUAGCUCAUUAACUAGGUCUGUUCGACCUUUAAAUUCUUACAUGAUCUGAGUUCAGACCGGCGUGAGCCAGGUCGGUUUCUAUCCUAAGUUUUAAGGAAUUCAUAUUAGUACGAAAGGACCAUAUGGGUAAAAUAUUUUUUAUUUAAUUGAUUAAAAUUAAUUU
rnacentral:rRNA from 1 species